ensembl:snRNA U2 U2 spliceosomal RNA
AUCGCUUCUCGGCCUUUUGGCUCAGAUCAAGUGUAGUAUCUGUUCUUAUCAGUUUAAUAUCUGAUACGUCCCCCAUCGGGGGACUACAUAUUAAAUGGAUUUUUCGAACAGGGAGUCGGAAAUGGGGCUUGCUCCGUCCGCUCCACGCAUCGACCCGGUAUUGCAGUACCUCCGGGAACGGUGCAACACUU